rnacentral:misc_RNA from 1 species
CUACUGGGUUCGAGCAUCUCCGGCAGAUUUCGCCGGAGCAAUUCCACUACCUCGAAGUGGACAUACUGCUGUUAACAUUGGGAAAUCGAAAGUUGUGGUGUUCGGAGGAUUAAUUGAUAAGAAGUUCCUUAGAGACAUCACUGUGUAUGAUAUUGAAAACAAAUUGUGGUUUCAGCCAGAGUGCACGGGCAGUGGUUCUGAUGGCCAAGUUGGUCCUAGCCCACGAGCAUUCCAUGUUGCUGUCACAAUUGACUGUCAUAUGUUCAUCUUUGGUGGAAGAUCUGGCGGUAGAAGGUUGGGUGAUUUUUGGGUCCUGGAUACUGCUGCUUCAGCCAUUGGAAAGAGUAAAAUUGUAAUGUUUGGUGGCUGGGAUGGUAAAAAGUGGUUGUCGGACGUCUAUAUCUUGGACACAAUGACUCUUGAAUGGAGGGAGCUAGCUGUUUUGGGAACUGUACCUCCGCCUAGAUGUGGCCAUACUGCUACUAUGGUUGAGAAAAGAUUGCUUGUCUAUGGUGGUAGAGGAGGAGGAGGGCCAAUCAUGGCCGACUUAUGGGCUUUGAAGGGCCUUAUUGAAGAAGAGAAUGAAAGCCCUGGCUGGACCCAACUGAAGAUUCCAGGUCAAGCUCCUACAGCGCGUUGUGGACAUACAGUUACAUCUGGAGGCCUCCAUCUCCUGUUAUUUGGAGGUCAUGGAACUGGUGGUUGGUUGAGUCGAUAUGAUGUUUACUACAAUGAUUGUGUUGUUUUAGACAGGGUGUCUGUACAUUGGAAACGCCUACCAACUACUAAUGAACCGCCAGUUGCACGAGCAUACCACUCAAUGACCUCAGUUGGGUCACGGUAUUUGCUGUUUGGAGGGUUCGAUGGAAAAUCAACUUAUGGUGAUCUGUGGUGGUUAGUUCCAGAAGAUGAUCCAAUUGCUAAGCGCGUAACGGCUUCUCCUCCCAAGGCAAUCCAUGAAAACCAGGAUGCUUCAAUGACAAGUAUGGAGAAGGAGAGGCAAAUGCAAGAAGAUGCUGUAUCAGAGUUGCAGAAAAGGAUAGGAAUUUCAGUAUCCAUCUCCGAUUCCAAUGUGAAGAAAAUUGUAGAUGAGUUGGAAGAUACAGAAUUAUUAGAAUUGGCAUCUAAAUUCAUUGGAGAGGGAGCUCUCAGUAAUAAGGAGGCUGUACAAGCACUUCGCGACCACUGGUCAAAGUCCUCACCGAAGUCUAUUCAAUUAAAAGAGCUUAGCCCAUUACUCCGUGACUACAAGCGCAGUGUUACCCGCAUUAAAGAGGAAAAUCUUGGAGCAUUCUUGCAAUCAAUGAAUGCUGGAUCUCUGGGGAAAGAGACUUAUAGAUUCCAUCAUAUUAAGAAUGUUAGUCAGUUGCGUAUGGAUGAUAUCCCACAUCUGCUGGCUGAGUACAGACAACUCCUUCUGGAUUUAGGAUCAAGCUAAAAACAUCAAGUUCUAUAUGGUAUAUUUCAUCGCGAGCUUAUCUUAAAGAUUAAUUGUACCGCUCUUUGUCAAUCCUUAUGAAUGAGCUACGACAUGCAAAAUCUUGAAUUUACUCCAUAAACUUCCUAGCUCUCUGGCAGAUUAUGAAAGCUUUUUCCUAUAUCGACAUUUAUACCUCUGCUGUUUUUAUUUGCCACAACGACAUUAUAGUAACGAAUAUACGCCAUCCUUCAUAUAGUUUAGAAUCCGUACAUUGCAUUAAGCUUUUCUCCCUCAAUUUCUG